ACCGAAAUGUUGCUACUAUCUGAAAGCGUUUGUUGAUGUUGAUCAGUUGAACGUGGUUUUCAGUGGUUUUAACCGGUUUUACUACGUUUUAUUAUUCAUUUCCAGCAAGUUAUUGUCAAUCAUGUCGGGUAGAGAAGGUGGCAAAAAGAAACCUCUAAAACAGCCAAAGAAGAAUAAAGGGGAGAUGGAUGAGGAUGAAAUGGAGUUCAAACAGAAGCAAAGAGAGCAGCAAAAAGCUUUAGAAGCAGCCAAGGCAAAAGCAGGACAAAAAGGUCCUUUGGGUGGUGGUGGGAUAAAGAAAUCUGGCAAGAAGUGAUCUUCAUCCACAAAAUGCACCUUCAAUUUGACCUCGAUGAUUUUUUAUUUUUUUAUUGGAAGUUUUGGCAAUGGCAUUGGAGAAAUUGAACUGUGCUUCAUUGAACUUGUACCUAAAAUUC